UACAGAGGGGGCAAGCGUUGUUCGGAAUUACUGGGCGUAAAGGGCGCGUAGGCGGCCUUCUAAGUCGAACGUGAAAUCCCCGGGCUCAACCCGGGAACUGCGUCCGAGACUGAAAGGCUUGAAUCCGGGAGAGGGAUGUGGAAUUCCAGGUGUAGCGGUGAAAUGCGUAGAUAUCGGGAGGAAUACCGAUGGCGAAGGCAGGUCUCUGGGCUGACACUGACGCUCAUGCACGAAAGCGUGGGGAGCAAACAGG
rnacentral:rRNA from 1 species